AUGCGGCAGCUUCGGCUCAUCACCAACAUGAGGGCUCAUAAUGACACGUGGUUUGCAAAUUACUUGCUAAGGGUCGGCAAUGGCACUGAGGAAGUCGACGAUCAAGGAAACAUACUACUCCCUGAAGACAUUUGUCUGCCGUCUACAGGCGAGGUUGACGACCUGGAGAAGCUUAUUCACCACGUGUUUCCGAGUCUAGAUGACAACAUGUCUGAUUCAAAUUACAUGACAUCUCGAGCAAUCCUUUCCACGACAAACGACAAUGUCGACGAGAUAAACAUCCGCAUGAUAGAGCGUUUUUAG
rnacentral:rRNA from 1 species